GGCAGCAGUGGGGAAUUUUGGACAAUGGGCGCAAGCCUGAUCCAGCCAUGCCGCGUGCGGGAAGAAGGCCUUCGGGUUGUAAACCGCUUUUGUCAGGGAAGAAACGCUCUGGGCUAAUACCCUGGGGUAAUGACGGUACCUGAAGAAUAAGCACCGGCUAACUACGUGCCAGCAGCCGCGGUAAUACGUAGGGUGCAAGCGUUAAUCGGAAUUACUGGGCGUAAAGCGUGCGCAGGCGGCUGUGCAAAACAGAUGUGAAAUCCCCGGGCUCAACCUGGGAACUGCAUUUGUGACUGCAUAGCUAGAGUACGGCAGAGGGGGGUGGAAUUCCGCGUGUAGCAGUGAAAUGCGUAGAUAUGCGGAGGAACACCGAUGGCGAAGGCAGCCCCCUGGGCCUGUACUGACGCUCAUGCACGAAAGCGUGGGGAGCAAACAGGAUUAGAUACCCUGGUAGUCCACGCCCUAAACGAUGUCAACUAGUUGUUGGGAGGGUUUCUUCUCAGUAACGUAGCUAACGCGUGAAG
rnacentral:rRNA from 1 species